GACGGACGGGAGGGGAGGAGAGACGGAGGGGAGGGGAGGAGAGACGGAGGAGAGGGGAGAAGAGACAUGUGAUACAGACCCGGACACGAGAAACACAGACAUGAACGAGAUCUAGCCAGAGACUAGGUAGUGAGUCUACAGAUACUAUCCACAAAGAGGCUAUUGACAUGGACAGUGCAUCGAGCCUGAGGUUGGAGCCUGCUGGGCUAUAGGAGACAUGGAGAGGGUAGAGACAGAGGGACCACACACAGGACUGGGAGACAUGGAGAGAGGAGAGACAGAGACAGGACAUCCCAACACUAUAGAGAGUAGAAACACAGAGAGACAGCAUAGAGUCACAGAAAAGAGAGAAACAGAGACUGAGACUGGAUGUGGUGACUAUCAAUGUAGAAGCUAACUCCCAAGAUGCUAACUGUAAGGAUAGAAGACAGAUCAAUGCAGAUAGCCAUGAAACAUAUUCGGAUGUAAUGGAGACCGAGACACCAGUCACUCAAACCCAGACAAGAAUCUCACAGAGGCUACUCACACAGACCAAGACACUGACAGUACAGACACAAGCGUAUGUCAAGCAGACGUUGAACACACACAUAAUGACUAUACAACAACAAGCAGUGUAUUUGUAGACACUACAAUAACAGAGGAAACUGACAGUACAGACAGAAUACAUUAUGACGCUAACACCACAGAGACUAUGCCAACAGACACAUGCAUCAAACAUAGCGACUCAACAACCACAGACAGAGAUAAAGACACACCCUACAGACAGCAGUGCCACACACACAGAUCCUCUCCAAGACAGACACAGAGGUAACCCAUGGAGACAGCCCUACAUACAGCAGUCCCACAGACACAGAUCCUCUCCAAGACAGACACAGAGGUAACCCAUGGAGACAGCCCUACAUACAGCAGUCCCACAGACACAGAUCCUCUCCAAGACAGACACAGAGGUAACCCAUGGAGACAGCCCUACAUACAGCAGUCCCACAGACACAGAUCCUCUCCAAGACAGACACAGAGGUAACCCAUGGAGACAGCCCUACAUACAGCAGUCCCACAGACACAGAUCCUCUCCAAGACAGACACAGAGGUAACCCAUGGAGACAGCCCUACAGACAGCAGUGCCACAGACACAGAUCCUCUCCAAGACAGACACAGAGGUAACCCAUGGAGACAGCCCGACAGACAGCAGUCUCACAGACACAGAUCCUCUCCAAGACAGAGUCAGAGGUAACCCAUGGAGACAGCCCUACAGACAGCAGUGCCACAGACACAAAUCCUCUCCAAGACAGACACAGAGGUAACCCAUGGAGACAGCCCUACAGACAGCAGUCCCACAGACACAGAUCCUCUCCAAGACAGAGUCAGAGGUAACCCAUGGAGACAGCCCUACAUACAGCAGUCCCACAGACACAGAUCCUCUCCAAGACAGACACAGAGGUAACCCAUGGAGACAGCCCUACAUACAGCAGUCCCACAGACACAGAUCCUCUCCAAGACAGAGUCAGAGGUAACCCAUGGAGACAGCCCUACAGACAGCAGUGCCACAGACACAGAGGUAACCCAUGGAGACAGCCCUACAGACAGCAGUCCCACAGACACAGCGGUAACCCAUGGAGACAGCCCUACAGACAGCAGUCCCACUGACACAGAGGUAACCCAUGGAGACAGCCCUACAGACACAGGUACAGACACUGAUAUCGAUUGUUCAGACAUUAUAAACAUUAUAAAGACAGACAGACAUCGUUCAGCCACAGACUAACCAGGAUCAUGAUAGAUUUGUUCACACCCUCACAGAUACUCUCCAUAAAGAUAGCAUCACUCCUACAGCUAUUUAGACUGACAAAUAUGUCGACCAUCUUUACUAUGUCUAGCUUAGUUUUUUUCAUUAAUAUUGUCUGUGUGUAAUUAUGAAGAGCAAUUUUUCUGUUGUUUAUUUACUCUGUAUAUUAGAGGUUUAUAAAGCUUUGUAAAUAUGUCAUUUUUAUAACUGAAUUAAAGUUAUGUAUGACUCAA